AGAACCACAGAAGCAGCGAGUCAGACUAUUCUUACAUAGUACAUAGAUCAUGCAGAGGAUUUCCAUCCUGUUUCUUCAGGAAUAUACUCUUUUUCCUUGUGUUUCCUGCUCCAAUAUCCUUGUCAAGGAAAGGCCAUUUUUUUAUUACUGCAGAAUGUACUAACUAGAAGAGCAUCCUCUCUGUUGCAAAGCGAUUCGUCUGGAUUACCCUAGUAAACAUUCUGCUCCCAUGGGUAGAGGCCACUCCCAGCUGAAAAACCAAAGUGUGGGACAUUAUAUCACAGACAUACGUGCUCUGAUUCCUUCAUUUCAUUGGUCUCCUUCGACUGUUUAUUGUAGCGCUGAAUACCUUCUGUCUGAUGUCCUUCCAAGAACAAUCCAGCUAAAAGGAAUGCAAUGGCCACCUUAACUUUGAAAUCAACAUUUUUCCUCUGAUAAGGAGCCAUCAUACAUUUCUUCUCUGAAAAGUUAAGAAUGGAAUCAGGACUGUUCCAAGAAAUAUAAUUCUAUUAGACACAGGAAUACUUUUGUGCAAGGAAGAGAAAGCCCACUACAUAAAUAUUGGACCCCAGUUCCCUUAAGAACUUUUCACAUGUCUAGAAUCCAAUUUUAUUUCAAUAUAAAUAAAGCAGAUUUUAUAUGCAUA